GACCACAAGAUGAACGGGGUUCCUCCCCGCAGUUGGUUAUCCUACCAAUAUUUAGCUUUAACAACCGAGAUGCCUGAGGGCAGGGUUUAACCAGAUCUCAAAACGAUUUCAGGCGCUGUGACAAGUAGUUCCAUAGGUUUCGCUGAUCGAUUGGAAGUCAGUUUCACAGGACAAGGCUACCUGAAGACCUACUGCAGACUUAUUAUGCAUCAUGUCUAACCGCCUCGAACAACGUUGGCAACAAUCAAUUAAGACUGAGGACAAUAUUUUCAUGGACUUUGAACUUAAACCACACCAGCAAGUACGUUCCUGCAAAAAAGUAAAUACUGAGCAGCCUAUAAUUUCCUUUCCAAGCAAUGCCGGGCUUUGCACCAAUGUUAACGUCUCAGGAUUACUGACUCAUUCCUCAACUUCAUUUAUGGAGUUACAUUUAUGCAACAGAUCAUCCAGCUCAGAUUUAAUUCAAUUUUUCACUUACGAAACCUUUAAUCCCUCAGAGACUGCUUGACUAAGCUUUAAUAGGAAGAAAAUGGGUGGUUGCCACAGCAGAAUUGCGGCAGACUUGUGAUAUGCCAGAUAUUUUGGGAUUGAGAGAAGAAGAUGAUGCUGAAAUUAAACAAAACAACAGAAAAGUAAAGUGGAAAAAGUGGAAAGCAACACUCACAAGAUAACAAAGAUAAAGGAGUGAAGAACUUCAGCUCCUCCAAGAACCCAAAUAUUUGAAAUUCUGAUUUUAUAAAUAAUAACCAUAUUGUAUGAUGGUAAGAUAGCAGGCCAAACCAGUUAAAUGUAUCUCAUCAGAAGACCUAUUGGAAGCAACUUUCACUUCAGAUGUAUUUUACAACAGAUGUACAUCAGCCCAUUGCAUUUGGAUGGAUAUCAAAAUUAAGCAAAAAUCUUCAACUAUCUUCUGAAUCGGGGAUCCCAACCUGGGGUCCAUGGACCCUUUGCUUAAUGGUAUUGGUCCAUCAACAGAUUCCAGCUGUAAUACUCAGCUAAUGGGGACACUUUUAUAAUUAAUUCCAUCCUCCCAUCGACUUCUAUCGCUAGGCUAUUCAAGUACUAGUCUGCACACCAGUGGGGAGAAGAUCCAGGAGCCUAAUGACUCAGAAACAGUUUCUUUGCCUUCUGAUUUCUGGACAGUCUAAAGAUGCCACC